GAUUCCAGCAAAUUGUUGAACUCGGCGCUUUCCGUAAACAUUUUCUUGAUGCCAAGCUGAAAAGUAUGCGAUGGAUAAGAUUGCAACUACAUCUAAUUAUAUAACCGUGGAAUGGAGUCGUGAUACAUGAUCUUAGACACGAACCGCAGGCUGCGUCAAUAUGUAUUGAUCACCACAAUAUCGCAGGUUAUCUGAGACGUUUUUAAACCGAUAAGCUACUAAAAAUAUUCUCUCGAGAUAAGACUCCCAUAAAUACAAUACUUUAAAAGUA
rnacentral:sRNA from 1 species